UACGGAGGAUCCAAGCGUUAUCCGGAAUCAUUGGGUUUAAAGGGUCCGUAGGCGGUUUAGUAAGUCAGUGGUGAAAGCCCAUCGCUCAACGGUGGAACGGCCAUUGAUACUGCUAGACUUGAAUUAUUAGGAAGUAACUAGAAUAUGUAGUGUAGCGGUGAAAUGCUUAGAGAUUACAUGGAAUACCAAUUGCGAAGGCAGGUUUACUACUAAUAGGUGAUUGGAACGCUGAUGGACGAAAGCGUGGGUAGCGAACAGG
rnacentral:rRNA from 1 species